CCUCAUCAGCAUGUCUAUGUCCAGAAUAUGUUGUCUAUGUUAUAGUGGGUACCGGUUGAGUAGAAUAUUGUGCCCCCUUCGCAUAAAUAUCCCAAGUCCGCCUCUGCAUGCGGCGUCUCUUUUGUGAGUGACAAUUCAUCUCUUAAAUUCACAUUUUGAGAUUCAGUGUCUACUAAUGCUCCAGCAACCCUAGUUCAAGUUGUUUAGCCUUUUCUUGUGCUUCUGAUAUUCUCUACAAACAGAUGAAACACUUGAAUUACCA
rnacentral:lncRNA from 1 species